rnacentral:rRNA from 1 species
UUGGGCACUCUAGAGAGACUGCCAGGGAUAACCUGGAGGAAGGUGGGGAUGACGUCAAAUCAUCAUGCCCCUUAUGCUUAGGGCUACACACGUGCUACAAUGGGGAGUACAGAGGGUUGCCAAGCCGUAAGGGGGAGCUAAUCCCUUAAAGCUACUCUCAGUUCGGAUUGUAGGCUGAAACUCGCCUACAUGAAGCUGGAGU